AACGAACGCUGGCGGCAUGCUUAACACAUGCAAGUCGAACGGAAAGGCCCUGCUUUUGUGGGGUGCUCGAGUUGAGAACGGGUGAGUAACACGUGAGUACCCUACCCUUCCCUUUGGGGUGACUUAAUGAAGCUUGAGCUAAUACCGCAUAGGAGCUCCUGCUGCUUGGUGGGGGUUGGAAAGUUUCGGCGGUUGGGGAUGGACUCGCGGCUUAACAGCUUGUUGGUGAGGUAGUGGCUGAGCAAGACCUUGACGGGUAGCCGGCCUGAGAGGGUGACCGGGCACAUUGGGACUGAGAUACGGCCCAGACUCGUACGGUAGGCAGCGGUGGAGAAGAGUACACAAUGGGCGGAAGCCAGAUGUGACAACGCCGCGUGCGGGAUGACGUCCAGCGGUUAGUAAACCGCUGUCGCCUUUGACGAGGCGUGAGUGACGGUACCGGGUAAAGAAGCACCGGCUAACUACGUG
rnacentral:rRNA from 1 species